rnacentral:rRNA from 1 species
UACGAAGGGGGCUAGCGUUGCUCGGAAUCACUGGGCGUAAAGCGCACGUAGGCGGCUUUUUAAGUCAGGCGUGAAAUCCCCGGGCUUAACCUGGGAAUGGCGCUUGAAACUACGGGACUGGAGUAUGGCAGAGGGAGGUGGAAUUCCUGGUGUAGCGGUGAAAUGCGUAGAUAUCAGGAGGAACACCUGUGGUGUAGACAGCUUACUGGACCAUUUCUGACGCUGAGACACGAAAGCGUGGGUAGCAAACAGG